CCUUGCCUAAGCUCCCCUCAGCUGCUGUCAGAGACAUCACCCCAUGGCCUGGCCGCCUGUGGGGCCAAAGUUCCUUGCCGGGGAGGAAGGAGGCAUGAGGUUGCAGAGAUCUCUGUUUCAUGGCACAGAGACGCUGCCUGGCACAUGGUAGGUGGUCACUACGUGGGGGCUGAGCUGACUCCCCCGCAGGGCCGCCUCCCUCUCUCUGCGCAAGGCUCGUUUUGUGACUACAAGAGAACCCAAGAACUGUGUUUAGGGACCAGAUCGCUCGCAGCCUGGUUGGCAAAGGGGAUCCCAUCCCACAAGGUACGUGGGCUGUGGAUAGCGCCUGGCACAAGACGGUGGCCCAGACUGAGGCGACAGUCUGAAUAGUUGACUCUUACUGUCUUGCGUUCAACACUGCAUUCGGCUUGAUAUGUUUGGCAGUCGUGUGAACCCUGAGCCGGACCCUUGGAGUGCAGGGUGACAAAGCUGUGUGUUCCCCGGGGGCGGUCCAUUCUACCAUGGAAAUGGUACCUCUGGGAUGGAGCCUGGGCAGGGCCGGGGGGCACAGAGGACCUUCAGGAGCAGGUGGCCCAGACCCCCUUGUUGGUUGGUACAGAUGAUCCAGCUGACACAAUAAAGGAAGAAAAAAAGAAAAAUCAACCCAGCAAGAUCAAAAGGAAAUAGAAAGAGAUCUAAACACUUCUGACCAAAACGCGGCUUCGUCGGUGUCUUCAGUGAAUUAGAGAAAAUAUCACGCAUCCGUGCAACACGAAUAGGGCUCCGAGAGUAGAAGUCACAGCAAGGAAGGGCUGUGGGAUCAAAACUAGAGGAGAAACCUCAGGACAAGGCUUAGGAGUCAAAGAAAUCCCCUGGAAAAUAGUUGAGAAGACGGAGGAACAGACACUGCGAGGGGAGAGGCCCAGGGUCCGCGUAGGAGUCUCCUGUGUGACUAGGAGUGGCAGAAACUGCUGCUGGGGACAGCCCCUCCUGCACCGCGGGGACCCGGGCUGGUACACUUGGGAAGGUUCCUGACGGGGUGGCGGGGAGCUGCCCGCAGGGCUCUCAUGUCCUGCUCUGCCCGGUGCCACCGGGACUGGGGGGGCGAGUUGGCCAUGUUCCAGAGCUGCCCCUGGGUCUCCCGGCUUGACCCCCUCCACAGCACAGGUCCCCCCCAGCUGGCCCUCUGGGGCCUCAUUUUCUGCUUUGUUCUGUUUGUCCUCCCCGCCUCCAGAGGCCAAGAAGUGAGAACGUGGUCAAUGGAGGGAAGCGGGAGAAGGGCGGAAAGAUACCCCUCAAAGAACUCGCAGGCUCUGAGCAGCGACCGGGACGCUGGGAACCCGGGGGAUGGUUCCAAGCUCAGAGGGAAACAGUCUUCAGGCCAGAAUUCCUCUCCACUGCUGCUCAAGGACCAGAGAGUCACCAAGGCGCCCUCCUCCACCUAAGGCCUGCUUCCCCCCACCUCCCCACGAAGCCACUGGAGGACAAACCCUUGAGGAAGGAGAGGUCGAGAAGGAGGCAAGGAGGCAGGGCAGACCAGAAUUCCAGGCUGGGGAAGGAAGGACAUGGCCAGCCCUGAGCAGCUGGGACUCCACCUGAACCCUUUAAGGCUCCAGAAGGCUAAGGAUACCUUGAUCAGUACCUCUACUGAGGAAACAUCCCAGUGAAGUUUGUAUAUAACUGGUUUUGAGAACCCACAUACUAUAUU